rnacentral:rRNA from 1 species
UUGAACGCUGGCGGCAGGCCUAACACAUGCAAGUUGAAGGGUAAAAGGAAAUAGAUUGGUGUUUAGAUGAUGAGUGGUGGAAGGGUGAGUAAUGUAUGGGAAAAUGUAUGAUGGAGGGGGAUAACUACUGGAAAAGGUAGCUAAUAAUGAAUAAUGUCGAAAGACCAAAGAGGGGGACCUUCGGGCCUCUUGCCAUCGGAUGUGCCCAGGGGGGAUGCGCUGGUAGGUGGGGUGACGGCUCACCUGGGCGACGGUGCGUAGCGGGUGUGAGAGGAUCGCCAGCCAGACUGGAAGUGAGACACGGUCCAGACUCCUACGGGAGGCAGCAGUGGGUAAUAUUGCACAAUGGUCUCAAGCCUGAUGCAGCCAUACCUCAUAUAUAAAUAAAGCCUUCGAAUUAUAAAGUACUUUCAACUGUGAUAAAGAGACUAAAGUUAAUACCUUUACUCAUUGACGUUACCCGCAGAACAAGCACCCGCUAACUCCAUG